GCCUAUUAUCUCAUUUUAUCCUCAAAACAACUUCAGAGAAGUAACUUGCUAAAAGAUCACAAAACUAGUAAGCAUUAGACUCUAGCCUGUGAAGGAAAGAUCUGCGUCUGUCUGUCUCUCCAUUGAAUCCCCAGCACCUACCCAGGUUGCAACCUGGCACACAAGAAGAGCUCAAUGAAUAUGAAUAAACAAUACCUAAACAAAGUCAGGAUAUACACUCAAGGCAAAUUGAUCCAAAGUCCAUGCUUUUUCCACUUAUGUUAAAUAGAUACAAAAUUAAAAAAUACGUGACUGAGAACAAAAUAAGUACAGUUGAAUUUGGCUGUUUCACAGAGAUUAGCCGGAUUUGACUGUCUGACAGGGAUUGGCUGAAUGAUCUUUGCUAACCUUCAUGCAGGCAAGCAGGAGGAAGAAUGAAAUGACCCAAAGCCACCGAGGUUUUUAUUUUGGCAUUAGCUACUGCAGAGAGAUAGUAGGCAUGAAAAACUGUAGCAUUAUCUUCUAUGUAAUCAAGGCUCUGAUAUAUUCUAGGAGAAAGAAAGGAAAUAUUUUAGGUUAUGAAACAAACAAGAAUGUAUUCAACCUUUCAAAAGAAUAAAUAAAUAACUGGAAGUAGGGAGACGACUACAUUGAUGCAUACAUCUAUGUGUCCUUUUCUGGCAAGGAAGGAAAAACGUAUGGCAUAAGAUACUACUUUCUGGGGGCCUAUAUCUGGCACAUCUCAGCUUUACAGGGUUGGUUAAUGACCAUAUGAAUUAGAAAACUUGAUCUAAAACGGUCGUGUUUACUAGGCAUCAACAGUGGAUUGAGCUAGCGGCCUAUGGGUCUUAUCCAUGGUCAUUGCUAUAAACAGGUAUCAAUUAAUCCUGAAGUGAGGAGCGCUCAUGCAGUCAGAAAAACCUUCACAUACAGAAAGCAACAUCUUUUCUACAGGUGGAGAUAAGAAGAGCAUUACAAGAAAAAGGCGUGCGUGAAGGCACAAUAAUGGCAGUUCGGGUUGACUGGGCUACGGAAGGCGUGAGAAAAACUGGGAAAUAAACAAGGCUGGAGUGCGAUCUUGGCUCACUGCAACCUCUGCCUCCCGAGUUCAAGUAAUUCUCCUGCUUCAGUCUCCCGAGCAGCUGGGAUUAUAGGUGUCCGCCACGGCGCCCCGCCUCAUCAGUAUUAGUGGGCUGCAACUUCCUUCCCUAACUCCCGGCUCAUCCUAACGUAAGUGGCGCUGCCAGGUGGCCCUCAGUACCUCAGCGUGUCUGGGUGCGAGGCAUCACAGCUGAACAAGAAGUCGGCGGCUCGCGGGUCACUGAUCGUCCCCCCUUCAGCCACUGUGGAGGUAAGAGCACGGGGUGAACCUAUCAAGCACCCUGGACCCAAAGCAUCAGAGAGAGGAGGAUGCUCCCCUCACCACCUAACCCGCUGCUUCCACUCAGCUUCCUACCCCAGAAUUGCCUCAGAUCCCGGCUAACGCUGCGGCAAAACCAACCGCGCUGCCCUUGAAACAUGGCGUCGCCAAGCCUGCGCGGACGUGAGAGAGGAGGCCCCAGAGCUGAGAUCCCUGAUUGGUUCCAGGUCCAACGCCAAGCUCAAUGAUUGGUUCCCAAGAGAAACGGCCGGGAAAGGCCUGAGGCCCUCAGGUGAGGGACGGUCUCUGACUGCUUAUCCGGAUCACUUAGGGGCCUCUCAGCCUUGCCCUGAUAAGAGGAGGAGAGCCACUCGAGUUGUGUUCUGCCCUCCUCGGCCUCCCAAAGUGAUGGAAUUACAGGCGUGAGCCACCAUGCCCAGCCUAUCAGACCUUUCAAAAACAACAUACAAAGGAAAACAAUCAUAAGCAUGAUGAAGUAACACCAAAUGAAAUAAAGACCCUUGGGGAAAACAGUGAACUUGCAACAGAGCACAUAAAAGAAUUAUCCGAAAGGCACUGAAUUCAUAAACUUCACUGAUACUCAAUUCAGUGUAGACAUCUGUGAGCACUGAUUGUGUGCUUAUCUCAUUUAAUUUUCAGUUUUCCUAUGAGAUUGAUAGCAUUAUAAUCAUUUCCAUUACACAAAAAAAGAGAUCUAUGAUUAGAAAGAUAAGCAAUCUCCCCAAAGUCAUACAAACAUUUAUUAAGUAGGGGAGAAGCAAGAUUUGAAGUGAGUCAGAGCCCAGUCAUUUAAAUGUCAGUCAUUAAAUACAAUACUACGUAUUUACUAUGUAGCAUACUAUACUAUCUCAUAGUAUAGCACACUAUACUGUCUCUGCAGAAAGGAA